UACGAAGGGGCUAGCGUUGCUCGGAAUCACUGGGCGUAAAGCGCACGUAGGCGGAUUGUUAAGUCAGGGGUGAAAUCCUGGAGCUCAACUCCAGAACUGCCUUUGAUACUGGCGAUCUCGAGUCCGGGAGAGGUGAGUGGAACUGCGAGUGUAGAGGUGAAAUUCGUAGAUAUUCGCAAGAACACCAGCGGCGAAGGCGGCUCACUGGCCCGGUACUGACGCUGAGGUGCGAAAGCGUG
rnacentral:rRNA from 1 species